AUUGAACGCUGGCGGAAUGCUUUACGCAUGCAAGUCGAACGGCAGCACGGACUUCGGUCUGGUGGCGAGUGGCGAACGGGUGAGUAACAUAUCGGAACGUAUCCAAUAAUGGGGGAUAACGAGUCGAAAGAUUCGCUAAUACCGCAUACGCCCUACGGGGGAAAGCUGGGGACCUUCGGGCCUGGCGUUAAUGGAGCGGCCGAUAUCUGAUUAGCUAGUUGGUGAGGUAAAGGCUCACCAAGGCGACGAUCAGUAGCUGGUCUGAGAGGACGACCAGCCCCACUGGAACUGAGACACGGUCCAGACUCCUACGGGAGGCAGCAGUGGGGAAUUUUGGACAAUGGACGCAAGUCUGAUCCAGCCAUUCCGCGUGCAGGAUGAAGGCCCUCGGGUUGUAAACUGCUUUUGUACAGAACGAAAAGGCUCUGGUUAAUACCUAGGGCUCAUGACGGUACUGUAAGAAUAAGCACCGGCUAACUACGUGCCAGCCGCCGCGGUAA
rnacentral:rRNA from 1 species